AGGCUAAACAAACUUGGAAAUAGCUGGUUCUCUCCGAAAACUAUUUAGGUAGUGCCUCAAGUAUUACCAUCGGGGGUAGAGCACUGUUUUGGCUAGGGGGUCAUGGCGACUUACCAAACCAAGGCAAACUCCGAAUACCGAUGAGUACAGCUUGGGAGACAGAGCACCGGGUGCUAACGUCCGGACUCAAGAGGGAAACAACCCAGACCGCCAGCUAAGGUCCCUAAAAUUGGCUAAGUGGGAAACGAAGUGGGAAGGCUAAAACAGUCAGGAUGUUGGCUUAGAAGCAGCCAUCAUUUAAAGAAAGCGUAAUAGCUCACUGAUCGAGUCGUCCUGCGCGGAAGAUGUAACGGGGCUAAGCCAGUUACCGAAGCUGCGGAUUUGCAAUUUAUUGCAAGUGGUAGGAGAGCGUUCUGUAAGCCUGUGAAGGUGCGUUGUAAAGCGUGCUGGAGGUAUCAGAAGUGCGAAUGCUGACAUGAGUAGCGUUAAAGGGGGUGAAAAGCCCCCUCGCCGUAAGCGCAAGGUUUUCUACGCAACGUUCAUCGGCGUAGAGUGAGUCGGCCCCUAAGGCGAGGCAGAGAUGCGUAGCUGAUGGGAAACAGGUCAAUAUUCCUGUACCGUUAUAUAGUGCGAUGUGGGGACGGAUCUUAAUAGGUCAUCCGGGUGUUGGAUAUCCCGGUUUAGUUGGAUGUAGGCGUGCAUUAGGCAAAUCCGGUGCACAUAUACCGAGGCCAACGAUCGAGCGGACUUGUCCGUGAAGUGACUGAACGAGGUUCCAGGAAAAGCCACUAAGCUUCAGCUAUAUACGACCGUACCGCAAACCGACACUGGUGCGCGAGAUGAGUAUUCUAAGGCGCUUGAGAGAACUCAGGAGAAGGAACUCGGCAAAUUGACACCGUAACUUCGGAAGAAGGUGUGCCCUAUUAGUGUGUAGUGAACAACGAAGCAUGAAUGGGUUGCAAAAAAUCGGUGGCUGCGACUGUUUAUUAAAAACACAGCACUCUGCAAACACGAAAGUGGACGUAUAGGGUGUGACGCCUGCCCGGUGCUGGAAGAUUAAAUGAUGGGGUGCAAGCUCUUGAUUGAAGUCCCAGUAAACGGCGGCCGUAACUAUAACGGUCCUAAGGUAGCGAAAUUCCUUGUCGGGUAAGUUCCGACCUGCACGAAUGGCGUAACGAUGGCCACACUGUCUCCUCCUGAGACUCAGCGAAGUUGAAAUGUUUGUGAUGAUGCAAUCUCCCCGCGGAAAGACGGAAAGACCCCAUGAACCUUUACUGUAGCUUUGUAUUGGACUUUGAACAGAUCUGUGUAGGAUAGGUGGGAGGCUUUGAAGCAGGGUCGCUAGAUCUUGUGGAGCCAACGUUGAAAUACCACCCUGGUGUGUUUGAGGUUCUAACCUAGGUCCAUUAUCUGGAUCGGGGACAGUGCAUGGUAGGCAGUUUGACUGGGGCGGUCUCCUCCCAAAGCGUAACGGAGGAGUUCGAAGGUACGCUAGUUACGGUCGGACAUCGUGACGAUAGUGCAAUGGCAUAAGCGUGCUUAACUGCGAGACUGACAAGUCGAGCAGAUGCGAAAGCAGGACAUAGUGAUCCGGUGGUUCUGUAUGGAAGGGCCAUCGCUCAACGGAUAAAAGGUACUCUGGGGAUAACAGGCUGAUACCGCCCAAGAGUUCAUAUCGACGGCGGUGUUUGGCACCUCGAUGUCGGCUCAUCUCAUCCUGGGGCUGUAGCCGGUCCCAAGGGUAUGGCUGUUCGCCAUUUAAAGAGGUACGUGAGCUGGGUUUAAAACGUCGUGAGACAGUUUGGUCCCUAUCUUCCGUGGGCGCUGCAGAUUUGAGGAAGCCUGCUCCUAGUACGAGAGGACCGGAGUGGACACACCUCUGGUGUAUCGGUUGUCACGCCAGUGGCAUUGCCGAGUAGCUAAGUGUGGAAGAGAUAACCGCUGAAAGCAUCUAAGCGGGAAACUCGUUUCAAGAUGAGAUCUGCCGGGGCCUUGAGCCCCCUAAAGAGUCGUUCAAGACCAGGACGUUGAUAGGUCAGGUGUGGAAGCGCAGUAAUGCGUUAAGCUAACUGAUACUAAUUGCUCGUGCGGCUUGACC
rnacentral:rRNA from 1 species